CUGAGCCAUGAUCCUGACGAUGUACUCACGACCCUCGAUCAGCUUUGGCACCUGGAGAAACAAACAGCACUGAAGUGUUUCUGUUUCUUAUUCCACAAAUCUGCAUGUUGUAUUUUUGAUGGACGUCCUGGUGCAGGAAGAGGUGACGGGCAUCCACAGGUCUCUGUUGGUGUCUCUCUUCUCAAUGAUGUAGUUGGAGAUGGCGCAGCCUCCAUCAUCAAGAGGAGGGUUCCAGGAGACCACCAUGUAGUUCCCGUAGACCUCGUUGAAGACCACUGGGCCCUCUGGAGGCUGAGGACGGUCUGACAGGAGGAAGCAUUCACACAGGUGAGGAGUCGGGCGGCUGAGUUCUGAACCAACUGCAGGCGGCGGAGCUGUGAUUGAUCAAUGCCGCUCUCCUCACUCUCGGGCUCCUCCUUCUCCUCGGCGUCGCUCAGCAGCAGCCUCCUCUGAGCCUUCUUGUCCUCCUCCUCCUUGUUCACCACCUUGAACUCCACGAUGUAGCCGGUGACCUUUGACCCACCGUCC